rnacentral:rRNA from 1 species
UACGUAGGGGGCAAGCGUUAUCCGGAUUUACUGGGUGUAAAGGGAGCGUAGACGGCGAUGCAAGCCAGAUGUGAAAGCCCGGGGCUCAACCCCGGGACUGCAUUUGGAACUGUAUAGCUAGAGUGUCGGAGAGGCAGGCGGAAUUCCUAGUGUAGCGGUGAAAUGCGUAGAUAUUAGGAGGAACACCAGUGGCGAAGGCGGCCUGCUGGACGAUGACUGACGUUGUGGCUCGAAAGCGUGGGGAGCAAACAGG